rnacentral:rRNA from 1 species
CCUACGGGAGGCAGCAGUGGGGAAUAUUGCGCAAUGGGCGAAAGCCUGACGCAGCGACGCCGCGUGAGGGAUGAAGGUCUUCGGAUCGUAAACCUCUGUCAGCAGGGAAGAACGGUCACUGUGCUAAUCAGCAGUGAAUUGACGGUACCUGCAAAGGAAGCACCGGCUCACUCCGUGCCAGCAGCCGCGGUAAGACGGAGGGUGCGAGCGUUAAUCGGAAUUACUGGGCGUAAAGCGCUCGUAGGCGGUAUGUCAAGUCAAGGGUGAAAUCCCCGCGCUCAACGUGGGAACUGCCUUUGAAACUGGCAAACUGGAGUGUGUGAGAGGAUAGUGGAAUUCCAGGUGUAGGAGUGAAAGCCGUAGAUAUCGGGAGGAACAUCAGUGGCGAAGGCGACUAUCUGGCACAUAACUGACGCUGAGGAGCGAAAGCGUGGGUAGCAAACAGGAUUAGAUACCCUUGUAGUC